GUCGAGCGGCGGACGGGUGAGUAAUGCCUAGGAAAUUGCCCUGAUGUGGGGGAUAACCAUUGGAAACGAUGGCUAAUACCGCAUGAUGCCUACGGGCCAAAGAGGGGGACCUUCGGGCCUCUCGCGUCAGGAUAUGCCUAGGUGGGAUUAGCUAGUUGGUGAGGUAAGGGCUCACCAAGGCGACGAUCCCUAGCUGGUCUGAGAGGAUGAUCAGCCACACUGGAACUGAGACACGGUCCAGACUCCUACGGGAGGCAGCAGUGGGGAAUAUUGCACAAUGGGCGCAAGCCUGAUGCAGCCAUGCCGCGUGUGUGAAGAAGGCCUUCGGGUUGUAAAGUACUUUCAGUCGUGAGGAAGGUGGUGUAGUUAAUAGCUGCAUUAUUUGACGUUAGCGACAGAAGAAGCACCGGCUAACUCCGUGCCAGCAGCCGCGGUAAUACGGAGGGUGCGAGCGUUAAUCGGAAUUACUGGGCGUAAAGCGCAUGCAGGUGGUUUGUUAAGUCAGAUGUGAAAGCCCGGGGCUCAACCUCGGAAUAGCAUUUGAAACUGGCAGACUAGAGUACUGUAGAGGGGGGUAGAAUUUCAGGUGUAGCGGUGAAAUGCGUAGAGAUCUGAAGGAAUACCGGUGGCGAAGGCGGCCCCCUGGACAGAUACUGACACUCAGAUGCGAAAGCGUGGGGAGCAAACAGGAUUAGAUACCCUGGUAGUCCACGCCGUAAACGAUGUCUACUUGGAGGUUGUGGCCUUGAGCCGUGGCUUUCGGAGCUAACGCGUUAAGUAGACCGCCUGGGGAGUACGGUCGCAAGAUUAAAACUCAAAUGAAUUGACGGGGGCCCGCACAAGCGGUGGAGCAUGUGGUUUAAUUCGAUGCAACGCGAAGAACCUUACCUACUCUUGACAUCCAGAGAACUUUCCAGAGAUGGAUUGGUGCCUUCGGGAACUCUGAGACAGGUGCUGCAUGGCUGUCGUCAGCUCGUGUUGUGAAAUGUUGGGUUAAGUCCCGCAACGAGCGCAACCCUUAUCCUUGUUUGCCAGCGAGUAAUGUCGGGAACUCCAGGGAGACUGCCGGUGAUAAACCGGAGGAAGGUGGGGACGACGUCAAGUCAUCAUGGCCCUUACGAGUAGGGCUACACACGUGCUACAAUGGCGCAUACAGAGGGCGGCCAACUUGCGAAAGUGAGCGAAUCCCAAAAAGUGCGUCGUAGUCCGGAUUGGAGUCUGCAACUCGACUCCAUGAAGUCGGAAUCGCUAGUAAUCGUGGAUCAGAAUGCCACGGUGAAUACGUUCCCGGGCCUUGUACACACCGCCCGUCACACCAUGGGAGUGGGCUGCA
rnacentral:rRNA from 1 species